rnacentral:rRNA from 1 species
UACGUAGGGUCCGAGCGUUGUCCGGAAUUACUGGGCGUAAAGGGUUCGUAGGUGGCCAACUAAGUCAGACGUGAAAUCCCUCAGCUUAACUGGGGAACUGCGUCUGAGACUGGAUGGCUUGAGUGCAGGAGAGGAACGCGGAAUUCCAGGUGUAGCGGUGAAAUGCGUAGAUAUCUGGAGGAACACCGGUGGCGAAGGCGGCGUUCUGGACUGCAACUGACACUGAGGAACGAAAGCCAGGGGAGCAAACGGG